rnacentral:rRNA from 1 species
UACGUAGGGGGCAAGCGUUGUCCGGAAUUAUUGGGCGUAAAGAGCGUGUAGGCGGUCCGGUAAGUCAGCUGUGAAAGUCAAGGGCUCAACCCUUGAAAGCCGGUUGAUACUGUCGGGCUAGAGUCCGGAAGAGGCGAGUGGAAUUCCCGGUGUAGCGGUGAAAUGCGCAGAUAUCGGGAGGAGCACCAAUGGCGAAGGCAGCUCGCUGGGACGGUACUGACGCUGAGGCGCGAAAGCGUGGGUAGCAAACAGG